rnacentral:rRNA from 1 species
UACGGAGGGAGCUAGCGUUGUUCGGAAUUACUGGGCGUAAAGCGCGCGUAGGCGGCUUUGUAAGUUAGAGGUGAAAGCCCGGGGCUCAACCCCGGAACUGCCUUUAAGACUGCAUCGCUUGAAUCCGGGAGAGGUGAGUGGAAUUCCGAGUGUAGAGGUGAAAUUCGUAGAUAUUCGGAAGAACACCAGUGGCGAAGGCGGCUCACCGGACCGGUAUUGACGCUGAGGUGCGAAAGCGUGGGGAGCAAACAGG